AUUGAACGCUGGCGGCAGGCCUAACACAUGCAAGUCGAGCGAGCGGCGGACGGGUGAGUAAUGUCUGGGAAACUGCCUGAUGGAGGGGGAUAACUACUGGAAACGGUAGCUAAUACCGCAUACCAUCAGAUGUGCCCAGAUGGGAUUAGCUAGUAGGUGGGGUAACGGCUCACCUAGGCGACGAUCCCUAGCUGGGCUGAGAGGAUGACCGGCCAUACUGGGACUUAGCCACGUUCCAGACUCCUACGGGAGGCAGCAGUGGGGAAUAUUGCACAAGGGGAGCAAGCCUGAUGAAGCCAUGCCGCGUGUGUGAAGAAGGCCUUCGGGUUGUAAAGCACUUUCAGCGGUGAUGCGUUACCCGCAGAAGAAGCAACGGCUAACUCCGUGCCAGCAGCCGCGGUAAUAC
rnacentral:rRNA from 1 species